GUGUUACUCCCUCCAUCCUAAAGAGGAUGUCGCAAAUUUCUCAAAAUAUAGAUUUACCUAGACAUGUUUUAGUGUCUAGAUACAUCAGAAUUUAGACAAAUUUUAGACAUCUUUUUCGGGACGGAGAGAGUAGUAU
rfam:Brachypodium distachyon strain Bd21 chromosome 3, whole genome shotgun sequence.